rnacentral:misc_RNA from 1 species
AACCUUAUGGACCUGCGGGCGUAUACCUGCGGAAGGAUCAUUACACAUAUUACGGGGGGUCGGUCACCCAGAGCGUCGCCUCUUAGCACCUCUGGGCCCUGCCCUGUCUGAAUAUUCUACCCAUGUCUUUUGCGCACUCUUCGUUUCCUCGGUGGGCUUGCCUGCCGAUAGGACACUAUAAAACCUUUUUGUAAUUGCAAUCAGCGUCAGAAAAACUUUUAAUAGUUACAACUUUCAACA